rnacentral:rRNA from 1 species
AUUGAACGCUGGCGGCAUGCCUUACACAUGCAAGUCGAACGGCAGCACGGGAGCUUGCUCCUGGUGGCGAGUGGCGAACGGGUGAGUAAUACAUCGGAACGUGCCCAGUAGUGGGGGAUAGCCCGGCGAAAGCCGGAUUAAUACCGCAUACGACCUACGGGUGAAAGCGGGGGACCGUAAGGCCUCGCGCUAUUGGAGCGGCCGAUGGCUGAUUAGCUUGUUGGUGGGGUAAAAGCCCACCAAGGCGACGAUCAGUAGCUGGUCUGAGAGGACGAUCAGCCACACUGGGACUGAGACACGGCCCAGACUCCUACGGGAGGCAGCGGUGGGGAAUUUUGGACAAUGGGGGCAACCCCGAUCCAGCAAUGCCGCGUGUGCGAAGAAGGCCUUCGGGUUGUAAAGCACUUUUGUCAGGGAAGAAAUCUUUCAGGCUAAUACCCUUGGAAGGAUGACGGUACCUGAAGAAUAAGCACCGGCUAACUACGUGCCAGCCGCCGCGGUAA